rnacentral:tRNA from 1 species
GAGGGUAUAGCUCAGUGGCAGAGUGUGGGCUCAGCAUGCCCGUGGUCCUAGGUUCAACCCCCAGAACCUCCU